ACACCCGCGGACGCAGAAGCUGCCAGCAAAGAGAACCUGCAGCCGCUUCCUCCUCCACCCUCUGAGCCUGUUCGGGGAGCCGGCCCGGGCCGGGGAGGAGAAAGUUGCAGCCGGGUAGGGACGGCAGCAGGUGGGAAGCGCCGCUGCUCGGCUUCUGCGGCUGCCUAAUUGCAGCCUGGCCGGGGAACUUUUCAUCAGCUGCAGAGCAGGGCACUGAUUAUCACACUGCCAGUAGAUGCUAGACAUUUGCCACUGGCCAUGGACAGCCUGAGUAGCAGUGGAGCCUGGAUAUGCUGAUGUGGCACAGAUGCUGUUAUGAUGAUGUCCCACCUAAGGACACUGUUCUUCUGCCAUCUAUGCAUGGGUUACUCUGGGAAAACCUCUAGGAUGGAUUCUGUUGAUAAGGCUCGAAUCUCUAGAACAGCAGCUAUCUGGAAGACGUCUUGUGGAAUUUGAAUACUGCUGAUUAUUUAGAAGUACUAAUGAAGAACUGGAUUAAAAUGGAAAAGGUAGCAACGCAGAAAACAGAACGAAUGAAACUGAGAGAUAGGAUCAAUGGGGGAUUUUUCUUUUAAAGGUCCACUCAUCAGAAAACUUAAUUAUUCGUGUGGAAUGACAACUAUAACAGAUCCCUUUAAUUUGUUCAAAUACAAGAUUGAGCAUUACUGAUGGGCAAGUAUCUUUGUCUAGAAAUGACCCAAAACAGGGAUAAUGUUUUACAGGAGCAUAUCUAUAUAUUACUAGACCUGUGAAAAGAAAACACUAGGUCUUUCUGAGAUUUUAAAUCUAAGCUGCCAUAAGGGCCCUGGAAUAAAAAUCCGCAACUAUGCCCAUAGGCAAAAUCAGGCUUAAAAUCUAUUUUAGAUUUAAAAGUAACCCUGUUAUUGUAUUUUUAAGGUAGGAAAAAUAAAAAGAUAGAUACUGUUUCAUGACUUUGAAAAAUUAUAUGCAAUAGAAAUUUUGUGAAAGUCAGAAAGUUUUGCUAGAAUGCAGCCACAUUUAUUUGUUUACAGAAAUCAGUAGCUUUCUAACUACAAUGGCAGUGUGAGUGAAUGGAACAGAGAGCUGCUGUAGCCCACACAGUCUGAAGAAUUUAUUCUCCCAUCCUUUACAGAAAAUCAGCUGACCCCUAGCCUGGAAUAAUGCACUAGAUCAUCAGGUUAAAUUGAAUAAAAAGAGUGUGACUACUAUUCCUCUCCUCUGAUUCUUGGACUUUGAGGAAAUGUAAUGAACAAUUAAACUGCUGGCUCCUCAUUAAAGCUGAGGUAAAAUGCUCAUAGAUUCAUUUUAGAAUAAAAAACAUAAUGAUUGCAAAAUAUGAAUUCAGACAAGAAAUGUUUUCUGUUCAAACUAAUUAUAGUUAAUAUGUUCUGAUCAGUUAUGCUUAACAUGUUAAAAAUAAGUGGCUUUCAAUUGAGCUUAUAAGAGAGAAUUUGGGCUUUUAUUAAUGUCAGUGAUUACAAUUAGUGAAUGUAAAACUAAUUCCGUGCCGAUUAAGUUUUGAUCUAUUUUUCACCAUUAUAUCUUUCCAAGAUUUUAGCAAACCUGCAAAUAGGCUGUAUUGAGCUUGUUCAUGCCCAGAAAAUUAAAGAGGCUGUUAAACAUUUAGGAAAAUCUUUAACUUUGUGUUGCUUCAGUUCAAUGUAUCUUGAAUUUGGCCUCCUUAGUGAUAAUUAACUACUGUACUCAAGAAUCUAUACAUAUUGAAAAGUAACAUCAAAAACAACAAAUAAAUCAACAAUUUGGAUGGUUG